AGAGGCUGCAACUAAACUGGAUAUGAAGAACGUGGCUUUACUGAAGAAAAUGUUCAUUUUCUGGGCAAACAGAAGCCAAUCAUAAUAUUGGAAAUCAUACAGUAAUGAAAAGAUAUCCAAAAUUCUUUUAUUUCUAGAUAAUCUCAAGAGAAUACAACUAGUAACUUCACGGGGAGGUGCAAUGACAGAAGACUUCAAUGACCAAGAGGAAAACUGAAAACCUCCAUGAGCAGCGAGAACACCAGUUACUGUCUAGCACUGUCAAGUGAAGAGGGCUCUCUAAGACUACACAACUGCAAAUUUUUAAACGCAAUGAUUUCUAAAGGCAAAAAGAUCUUCUCGGAAAGCAUAUAACCUACUUGAUCAAGAGUCACAGGCUCACUGACUGAGCCAGCUAGGCGCCCCGAGCAUAUAACCUACUUGAGUACUCGACUACAGAAGCUGGUCCAGCCACGGCUCUGAAGCAAGGAUGGGUUUACUUCUCUGCAUGGGCUACUACUGCAAAGCUGGUGAAAAGACCAUGUAAAUAACAACACUCAGGGAUCUACUGUUGAAACUGGCCUUCCCCAAAGUGCAGCAUGUACACAACAUCUCACAGAAGACAGCUGAGAAAUGAAGGCCACAGACAAUGCUGAAGACAAAACAAAGAUUUCCUACCUCAACAAGCCAAAUUUCCUAGAAACUCUGAUUUUACCACUGACAUUCCCGAAGGCGAGUUUGAGAAAGUACUAUUAUUCUGGAAUCAAAAUGAAGAAUUAAGGGUGUGGAGAUGGGUUAAAUAAAUGAUGGGGAUUAAGGAGUGCACUUGG